UACGUAGGGACCAAGCGUUGUUCGGAUUUACUGGGCGUAAAGGGCUCGUAGGCGGCCAACUAAGUCAGACGUGAAAUCCCUCAGCUUAACUGGGGAACUGCGUCUGAUACUGGAUGGCUUGGAUUUGGGAGAGGGAUGCGGAAUUCCAGGUGUAGCGGUGAAAUGCGUAGAUAUCUGGAGGAACACCGGUGGCGAAGGCGGCAUCCUGGACCAAUAUUGACGCUGAGGAGCGAAAGCCAGGGGAGCAAACGGG
rnacentral:rRNA from 1 species